CAGGGGCUCUGGGAGUGGCUGCCAGGUGAGUUGAACAGUCCGAUUUCCAGUGGGGUCCCACACAGAUGGGACACUGCUUAGGAGGAAUCCUGGGCUGCAGGCAUUCCUUGGCCUGGUGGUCAGAUUUCUGGCACUUGUAGCAAUUUCCUGGGGGAGGAGGUUCUGGAGGAACGCCUGGCCACUGCAGUUCAGGCGUUUGGAAGUUGUUGUGUGCUGGAGAUGUGGCUGGGGUUUGUCUCACAGUGGAAGCAAGGAAUUGCAACUUUUUUUUUUGUUAUUGUACACCUUGAAGAUGGGUUAAUUAAGUCCUGUUGUGGGGUUUGAGGGCCAGAUUCUAAUUUUUGGAGUUUUAUUUAAUGUCGGGAGCAGAUUGGGUAAUAAAAUGUAUAUUGAGAAUAAAAUGGCCUUUUGACCUUUUAGGGUCUAGGGCUGUAAAGUGUCUCAGGGUUGCUGCCGAACGAGCCAUGAACUGGGCUGGGUUUUUAUAUUUGAUAAAAAAGAGCCUAAAGGCUUCUGAUUUGGGAUAAAGAAAAAGGAGCAUUAACCUUGACUAUGCCUUUGGCUCCAGCCACCUUUUUAAGAGUAAAUUGCUGGGCAGGUGGGGGAGGGCUAGUCACACAACGAAACUGUAAGCUGGACCAGGUGUGAGGAGGGGAGGCGAUAAAAAGAUUACAGGGUGGAGGAGCAGAGGCCAAGGAAGAAUUGGGACCUAGCUUGGCCUGGCGAGGAGGGGAGAGGUAAAUUGCUGGGCAGGUGGGGGAGGGCUAGUCACACAACGAAACUGUAAGCUGGACCAGGUGUGAGGAGGGGAGGUGAUAAAAAGAUUACAGGGUGGAGGAGCGGAGGCCGAGGAAGAAUUGGGACCUAGCUUGGCCUGGCGAUGGGUCUGUAGUAAAGGAAGAUUAGAAAGACUCAGCGACGCUUGGGGUUGGGACUGAGGGGACAGGAGGGAGGGAAAGAAGGAAGAUUUGGGACGAGUUGCACUGGGC
rnacentral:lncRNA from 1 species